rnacentral:misc_RNA from 1 species
UUUCCGUAGGUGAACCUGCGGAAGGAUCAUUAUUGUAUAACCGAGGUGCGAGGGCUGUCGCUGACCCGAAAGGUCGUGCACGCCCGAGUGCCCUCACACACAUCCAUCUCACCCCUAUGUGCACCACCGCGUGGGUCCCCCUUUGGCUUGUUCGGAGGGGGGCUUACGUUUUCACACAAACUUUGUAUGCAGUGUAGAAUGUAUUUUUUGUUUUUGCGAUCACGCAAUCAAUACAACUUUCAACAACGGAUCUCUUGGCUCUCGCAUCCAUGAAGAACGCAGC